rfam:Arabidopsis lyrata subsp. lyrata unplaced genomic scaffold ARALYscaffold_7, whole genome shotgun sequence.
GCUCACCACACAGAUUUCCAUACAGUAAAAGAAAGUAUCACUUAUCUCAACCCUAGUGAUUGGACCAGUACUGUGCUCAUCAUAAUUGAGCCAUAAUUCACGAUUCCUCAUCAGAUACAAAGUCACAACCUUAUAUUGUCCCUUGUUUCUAAACCAAUCUCACAGAUUAUGAUGGCUUUGUUUCUGAUGAAGGAUUUUGGAUUGUUUCUUAACACUGAGAAGCACAUUGUUGGUUCAAUUCCUGGGUUUGAGAUAAUUGACACUUCUUAUACCGUAUGAAAACAUGUGUGGUGGGC